UACGUAGGUGGCAAGCGUUGUCCGGAUUUACUGGGCGUAAAGGGCGUGCAGGCGGUCUGUUAAGUCUAGGGUGAAAGCUCCCGGCUCAACUGGGAGAGGUCCUUGGAUACUGGCGGACUUGAGGGAGGCAGAGGAGUAUGGAAUUCCCGGUGUAGUGGUGAUAUGCGUAGAUAUCGGGAGGAACACCGGUGGCGAAGGCGGCCUGCUGGGCAGUUUUGCUGACACUGAGGCGCGACAGCGUGGGGAGCAAACAGG
rnacentral:rRNA from 1 species